GGCGGUGUAGGACCACUUGGAAUUAAUGGGUCUGAGGGGGAUCCAGGCCCAACUGGUCCACGAGGUCAUAAAGGCCCUGCAGGACCGUCAGGAUUAGCAGGACAGACAGGC